rnacentral:rRNA from 1 species
UGGGGAAUAUUGCACAAUGGGCGAAAGCCUGAUGCAGCCAUGCCGCGUGCGUGAAGAAGGCCUUCGGGUUGUAAAGCACUUUAGGCGAGGAGGAAAAGCGUACGGUUAAUAACCGUGCGCCGUGACGUUACUCGCAGAAUAAGCACCGGCUAACUCCGUG